rnacentral:rRNA from 1 species
GAUGAACGCUAGCGGCAGGCCUAACACAUGCAAGUCGAGGGGUAGCAGGAUUAAGCUUGCUUAAUUGCUGACGACCGGCGCACGGGUGCGUAACGCGUAUGCAACCUACCUUAUACUGGGGUAUAGCCCGGAGAAAUUCGGAUUAAUCCCCCAUAGUACUAAUGAAUCGCAUGGUUUAUUAGUUAAAGCAUUGCGGUAGAAGAUGGGCAUGCGUCCUAUUAGCUAGAUGGGGAGGUAACGGCUCACCAUGGCUACGAUAGGUAGGGGGCCUGAGAGGGUGGUCCCCCACACUGGUACUGAGACACGGACCAGACUCCUACGGGAGGCGGCAGUGAGGAAUAUUGGUCAAUGGGCGCAAGCCUGAACCAGCCAUGCCGUGUGCAGGAAGAAUGCCCUAUGGGUUGUAAACUGCUUUUAUUUGGGAAUAAACCUCUUUACGUGUAGAGAGCUGAAGGUACCAAAUGAAUAAGCACCGGCUAACUCCGUGCCAGCCGCCGCCGUAA